AACGCUGGAUCCACAAUAAUCUUCAAAGAAAAUGAGGCCAAAAAUACUAAAAAUGUUUAUUAUGUAGAUGUAAAAUUCCAACCGGAAGUCCUAAAAAAACCCCGCCCAGUUGAAACUCCCGCCACGGUUUUACUACAGCGCCCUCUCGUGAUAUUUAAGAACACCAUGCUGACUGCAAUUUUUAGGUUAUGUUUAGUUAUUAUAUUAUCUCAUAUCAUAUCAUGAUUCAUAACAUUGAUGAUUCUGUAUAUUUUCUUUUAGUCCGUCUCUAAUUUUCUCUCACACUUGUACUUCAGGAAAUAAAACUCCAGUAGAUAUAAAUUCCAAAUUUUAUCAUUGUAUAACGAUUUCUAUAUCCCCACAGUUGCGAAUAAUUACUCUAGUGGUGUUUCCACAAUUUGGUCCUGCUGUGUUUUUUCCCCUUCAGUUAACUGUUUUGUGAUGUGAGGUGCCUACUGAAUCCGUUCGGAUGUUCAUAGAACUCUAAUCCUGCCGUGUUCAGUCUAAUAUUCUCGAUGAAUUUUAUUAUGAGCGAUACCAAAACCAACAAUAGCUUCAAAAGUUACAUCGGACUACAUGACACCAAUCUUUCGGCACAUGACAUCAGCAAUGAUGAAUCAUUCUCAGAAAUACUGCUUCCGAAGUUGCUGCCUGGUCAGUUUCCUAAUCCCAUUAAUUUGAAUUAUCUUCUAUCUCAACCUAAUUUUAAGUCAGUCAGUCUGAUAUCAGAUUGCCUCCCGAUAAAGAUUGCUCUUCCUUUGCACUGAAUCAGUGAAAAUAUAUUUGCGCAACAGUGUGAAACAUGAAACAUUGUUUAUAGUCAAGAAUUCUCGGACUCAAGUUGGAUGUCCCCCCUGUUUCAUGAGAUGAAGUCAGUCUGAUGAAGCUCCAAGAAAUAAUAGGGAAAUCUAUAAAUACCCUGUAUUUCUACUACUCAGAUUUAUGACCACUAAUGGGUUUAAAGGGGACGGCAACCUUAAAAACAAGUUUGACUUAAUCGACGAAGAAAAGUGUACAAUGAACGAUGCCGUAAUCCUUUUGCAAAUUCUGCAUUCAAUGAGCGGCUAUAUCGCGAAAAAAACAGCUGAGCUUCUGAAGUCAUGAGCUCCGUCUCGCGUUUUGCUGUCUGCACGUCCGUGGCCGACGCGUGUUUGCGACAAGUUAUUAGUUGCCCCAAUCUUGCUCAUUCCUGGUGGACUCCUUUUCUUUGCUUAAGGCCCAGAUACACCUGCGAGUUACGAGCGCUUGUUGAAAGUGAAUCACCAAUAUACAAGGUGGAUUUUGAUAGCUCGACGUCGAGCGAUCGAAAUCCUGGUUUCCUAUUGGUAUUUCACUUUCAACAACGCUUGUAACUCGCAGGUGUAUUUACCGCUGUAGGCUUGACUAUUAAGGUGACUUUGUGGCGCCAGACAGCGAACGCACCAGACUGCAGUCGCACCAGGAGCGCAUGCCGUCACCAAGUCAGGCUUACAAUCUUUCAUAUCUCUGCCGAUUUGCGAAUUUUUCGUUCGGGACAGAGGCAUUUUGCUUCUGAUACCUUCCCGCUUCAAUUUUUAAUACUAUCUCUUUUCGAGUUUAGGGUUGCUGUCCCCUUUAAUUUGGGUUAUUUUAAUAUUUGGGCCUCAAGCAGUGGAUAUUUGCAAAAAGAUGAUGAGUAUUAUUAUUCAUUUACAUCAUUGCAUUCAUUUGUACAAGUGACUACUAUCUUUGAUGUGAAUUAACAUUUUUAUUUUUUUCAGGCGAGAUGGUUGUGGCAGAAGCUCAUAGUGUAUUACUUUUCACUCUCUGUGAGUGAUAAAAAAAUGGAAAAUUGGGUGUUCUUGUAGUUACUAACUUCAAACUAUCAUUCAUCACAGCAGAAGAAGAACAAAAUACUGUGAGUAAUGUUUUUUCCCCUAUCCACUGUUCAGUCGUUUACUUACAAAUGUAAAUCAAAAUUCCAAGAAAGAGAGAUCCUGUUAGAUAGUAAGUUUUAGGUCAAAAAAUACUCAAUGUAUCUUUUUUUCUUCCUUUUUUAAAAACAAAAUUUGUAUUGGUUCCUAUUGAUCUCUCUCCAAAAGACUGUGAUGAUGAAGUUUCUUGAUCCUCUAUCAUCAUUUUUUGACACAAGCUCUCAAAACCAAGAAUACAAGAUCAUCUAAAAACUCUAUUUUUCUGAGGAAAUAUUGCGUAUGAAGUAAUGGAGGAAAAUUCUCUAAUCUCUCCUCUUCUAAUGUGUACUCUUACAACUUACCUGUUUAAAACAAUAGAACUUUUUACCUUUCAAAGCCAUGCAUUAAUUAGGAAAAUAACUGACUUUGUCUUUUUGUUUGUUCUAGUAUUAUAUUUCCUAUCAGAGAAAUAUGCUACUGGGUCCAAAUGAUGUCUCAUUAUCGAAUGUUGACGUCUUGUAUCAGAUCAGUAGCAAAAAGUAAGCUUACUCCUGGAUCAAGUGUCUCCGAUCAAGUGAAAGGAAUUUUUUGUAUUGUGCAAAGUAAGUUCUAUCUUAUUCAUGUCUUUCAUUUUAUAUUCAUUUCUGAUUACGUACAAAUUAACGAUAAGUCAUGUGAGUCAUCACGAGCAGUGAGACAUGAGUGUUGUUUUCAGUACUACUGGUAACUGAAAGUGAGA
rnacentral:lncRNA from 1 species